rnacentral:rRNA from 1 species
GAGUAAUGUCUGGGAAACUGCCUGAUGGAGGGGGAUAACUACUGGAAACGGUGGCUAAUACCGCAUAACGUCGCAAGACCAAAGAGGGGGACCUUCGGGCCUCUUGCCAUCAGAUGUGCCCAGAUGGGAUUAGCUAGUUGGUGAGGUAACGGCUCACCAAGGCGACGAUCCCUAGCUGGUCUGAGAGGAUGACCAGCCACACUGGAACUGAGACACGGUCCAGACUCCUACGGGAGGCAGCAGUGGGGAAUAUUGCACAAUGGGCGCAAGCCUGAUGCAGCCAUGCCGCGUGUAUGAAGAAGGCCUUCGGGUUGUAAAGUACUUUCAGCGGGGAGGAAGGUGUUGUGGUUAAUAACCGCAGCAAUUGACGUUACCCGCAGAAGAAGCACCGGCUAACUCCGUGCCAGCAGCCGCGGUAAUACGGAGGGUGCAAGCGUUAAUCGGAAUUACUGGGCGUAAAGCGCACGCAGGCGGUCUGUCAAGUCGGAUGUGAAAUCCCCGGGCUCAACCUGGGAACUGCAUUCGAAACUGGCAGGCUUGAGUCUUGUAGAGGGGGGUAGAAUUCCAGGUGUAGCGGUGAAAUGCGUAGAGAUCUGGAGGAAUACCGGUGGCGAAGGCGGCCCCCUGGACAAAGACUGACGCUCAGGUGCGAAAGCGUGGGGAGCAAACAGGAUUAGAUACCCUGGUAGUCCACGCCGUAAACGAUGUCUACUUGGAGGUUGUGCCCUUGAGGCGUGGCUUCCGGAGCUAACGCGUUAAGUAGACCGCCUGGGGAGUACGGCCGCAAGGUUAAAACUCAAAUGAAUUGACGGGGGCCCGCACAAGCGGUGGAGCAUGUGGUUUAAUUCGAUGCAACGCGAAGAACCUUACCUGGUCUUGACAUCCACAGAACUUUCCAGAGAUGGAUUGGUGCCUUCGGGAACUGUGAGACAGGUGCUGCAUGGCUGUCGUCAGCUCGUGUUGUGAAAUGUUGGGUUAAGUCCCGCAACGAGCGCAACCCUUAUCCUUUGUUGCCAGCGGUUAGGCCGGGAACUCAAAGGAGACUGCCAGUGAUAAACUGGAGGAAGGUGGGGAUGACGUCAAGUCAUCAUGGCCCUUACGACCAGGGCUACACACGUGCUACAAUGGCGCAUACAAAGAGAAGCGACCUCGCGAGAGCAAGCGGACCUCAUAAAGUGCGUCGUAGUCCGGAUUGGAGUCUGCAACUCGACUCCAUGAAGUCGGAAUCGCUAGUAAUCGUGGAUCAGAAUGCCACGGUGAAUACGUUCCCGGGCCUUGUACACACCGCCCGUCACACCAUGGGAGUGGGUUGCAAAAGAAGUAGGUAGCUUAACCUUCGGGAGGGCGCUUACCACUUUGUGAUUCAUGACUGGGGUGAAGUCGUAACAAGGUAACCGUAGGGGAACCUGCGGUUGGAUCACCUCCUUACCUUAAAGAA